UCCAAAACAUGCUGCUAAGGCAAUUCAUUGUACUGCUUUAUUCAGAUUUGAAUAGUCGUCACCCCAGUAUCUAAGUGCCUAAUUAUUUGUUCUUGAAAAACAAGGCAAGUGCUAACAAUACAAGAUUUGUCUGCCAGUUCAAACUUGUUUUUGGAGGACACUCAAUGCCCUUAUCAGAGACAACUGGAAGCAUAGCUUCGCAUCACAUAUGGGCCCAGAAGGCUACUUUACGAAUCUCUAAAGCAAACUGAAGGCUUUGGUCUGAGAUCAUGAAGAGCUCCUUCCCUGCCAGCAAAUGCCUCUUCUACAGACAAUCAACAGUUUCUUCUACUUCUCUUCAGAAGGGCUUGCUUCAGAGUAUACACAGUUGACAGAAGAUACAGCCUCCAAAUCAUCCCUCCUGCAACAAUGCAGUUUUCUGAACUAUCUUUAAACAAGGGGCCGUUCCUCCUAGUCCCCAGGCAGCCAGGACUCAAAAAUAAGACCCCACCAACAUGGCACCUCCUCCUCCGACACGUGAGCUGGCAAGUUUCAUUCACUUCUAAAUCACACAACUGAACUAUUACUAUUCAUGGCAAUUUUCAAUCGUAUUUACUCAGAUUUCUUAUUACUGCAGACGUUGGAGCAAUGUGAAGUACUAUUAGUCUGUUUAUGCAACCUCUAACGCAAUUCAGUUUCACAGUACAUCAUGUGUCAUUUGAUCCUGUAAUUUUUCAGCCUCUCCAGACUAAAUCUGACCUUAACUGGUUUAACACAACCGGCUCUGAACCAAACCAAAAUAUUGACUUUGAGGUUGAAUAUGCGGUUGAGGGUUGAUUUUUUUCCCUAAUUGAGGCUAGAAUUAAAGCAGUAAUAUUCAGUUAUAAGGUCAUCCUAAACAGUGAAACCGAGAUGGAGAUUUUCUUCAUUCAUUCCUAUAUAUCAAGUGGAGAUGGAAAAAUUCCUGAAAUGUUUUGGCUUUGGCAGUAUAUCUAAUUUGUCCUCAGAUGAGCCUGCAUGCAUAAUUGAAACUAUAGCAGCAAUACUGCUAUGGAGGCUAAUAUUAUACUGGCCUUCAUGAUGGUCUGCAAUAACAGAAGUGAGAGUAUAAGUUUAGCACAGUGAAUUGCAGAAAUGGAAUUAUAUACAUGCAAACUAUCAGAAGGUGGGAAUCUUCACUAACAAUGUGAUAUUUGCUAUUACAAGCAGCAAUAUUUCUAAAAGUAAUUUAUCCAAAGCCAUACAUGUCUGGAUGGUAAAGGAACAAGUAAAGGCUGUCAUACACUUUCCUCUUGCCUGUCUGCCUAUCUGGACGACAUUGUGCAAACACUGCAGGAGUUCCAUCAAUUUGAUAACAUCAAUACAUCACCUAUGACUUAUCUAUUCAGCGUGAUGCUCAUUAAAGUUAAUUUCAAUUUGUUAAAAUGGACUCUAAGUAAAAAAAAAUGUGCUGCUACCUUCACUUAGGCCUCAAUCAGACACUACCAAUACUGAAUUACUGAAUUACUUUAAGAAAAGUCUACUAAAUGAAUAGUAUCUGGAUCAAAACAAUCCGUCUUUUAGCCUUUUAAUUACAGAAUAAGAUUCUUCUUUUUACUAUUACUGUGGAAUAAAUUAAUUCCACAAAUUUCAGGAGAAAAUCAUUUUUGAGGCCCUCAUCUGUUCCUUUCUCCUUGCCAUGUAAACAGUGAACCUUUCACUCCUUACUUGGGCUCCUACUGAAAGUUUGGGCUCAUCAACUCAUGACCAAGGCAGACAUUUCCUCGUGUAAGAAGCCUAAGACCACAAUGCAACACUAGUGGAAAAGCAUCAAGGAAAUUUUGUUGAAGGAAGAAGGCAGAUGAGAAAGUAGCAUACCUUUUCUGACCCGUACUCAAAUGCAUUUGUUCAUAAUAAAAAAAUAUAUAAAACUCUGAAAGGAAAAAAAAGAAAAAAAAGGGAAACUGAAAAUGAUGACUGUACAUGUUGAUGAUGCCCUGGAAUAUUUUAACUCGCUUGCCAAGAUAUGCUGGGUUUUGUGAAGCUAUUGUGUUUACUCUUGUUGUUCAAUAAAAAAUAAUUAGUUGCUAUGGUAACUGCC
ensembl:lncRNA